rnacentral:rRNA from 1 species
CGCAACUCCUACGGGAGGCAGCAGUGAGGAAUAUUGGUCAAUGGGCGAGAGCCUGAACCAGCCAAGUAGCGUGCAGGAUGAAGGCCCUAUGGGUUGUAAACUGCUUUUAUAAGGGAAUAAAGUGAGUCUCGUGAGACUUUUUGCAUGUACCUUAUGAAUAAGGACCGGCUAAUUCCGUGC